rnacentral:lncRNA from 1 species
AUGGGUUCCCAUUAUUUUGCACAAGCCCUAGCUAUGGUGCUAGUUGCUUCAAUGCUGGCAGUUGGCUCAGCCAACAAGGAUUGGCAACAUGGAAACUACACUGGUUGGGGUUUCAACCAUGGCCUCAACGAGACCAAAGGACCCAACAAAAUCACAGUUGGUGGGUCGGAAAACUGGCGUUACGGAUUUGACUACAAACAAUGGGCUUGGAAGAAUGGCCCAUUUUACAUCAAUGACACUCUAGGUGAGUUCGCAACUUUUUGUUCAUCUUUAGCUUCCUUAAGCAAUUUGGGGGGAAAGUAAAAAGCUUGCUUCUGUUCAAGGAUGUUUAAGUUUACUAGCAUGCUGCAUGCUCUAAUUAUACAUAUGAAAUGUUGUCUUCUAUUGAUAUCUGUAAGUUGCUCAGUUACGCAUGUUAUCUAUAUUGACAUCCUGAUAACACAACAUAACACGUGAAACUAUCAAGCAACAUAAAGUUUCCUUAGUUACAUUAAUUCUACUGUGCAAUUUGCUUCACUAUAAGAAACCCUUUUUCCAUGAUGAACAUGCAGUUUUCAAGUAUGAUCCUCCAAAUGACACCACACGUCCUCACAGCGUGUACUUGUUCCAAAACCCUUGGAGCUUCAUGAAGUGUGAUUUAAGCCAAGCCAAGAUGGUGGGAAAACCGACACAAGGAGGUGGAAAAGGCUUUGAGUUUGUGCUCAAGAGUUGGCAGCCUUACUACUUCGCUUGCGGCGAGUACAAUGGCCUCCAUUGUAAGGACGGACUGAUGAGGUUCGCCGUCUUCCCAAUGUUUCGCGGCUGGCAUUACUGA